AUUUGUGUGGAGCUAUAUUGAUAGGCAUGUAACGUACGUCAAUUACUUUACGUUUCUUUGCAGAUAAUAAAUUGUAUUUAUCUGUGUAUUUAACUGUUUCGGAUGAUGAUAAAAUGAUUCGGAAUGAAUCAUGUCUACAAUGUACUCUGAAAAUCAAGGAUAAGAUGAGCACCGAACUGUGGGUGAGGUGUGAGGACUGUGUAAGGAGCAUGAACAUAGGAAGGAGAAAGCUCAAAGGAGAAUCUCUGUAGAAUCAACGCCAGAGCCAUCUUUGUCUCCAUCAGAGCAAAAUUUUGGCCAAUGCAGAUCCUUGGUCCCCACGCAAAGGGAAAGAAAGAGACUUGGCCAUUUGUUGCCUUUGAGACACCGUCUUUGAACCUCCCGGGCUUGAACUCCUCUGCAUCGUUGCCCCAUAGUUGUGUGUCACGAUGGACUAGCAGAAUAGGAAGAUUGAUCUGAACGCCUCCGGGCAGUGUCAGGUCGCCUAGCUUUAUCUCUUUGUGAAUGGCUCGGGUCAGCUGCGCUGCUGGAGGAUAUAGCCUUAGGACCUCAUAUAGUAUCAUUGUCAUCUGUUGGAAGCAUUCAUUAAAAUCAUCAUAACACAACAAACGUACUGAAGUCACUUGCAAAUUUUUUAAUUUAGUUUUACUGACCA